CCCAGACUCCUACGGGAGGCAGCAGUGGGGGAUAUUGCACAAUGGGGGAAACCCUGAUGCAGCGACGCCGCGUGAGCGAUGAAGUAUUUCGGUAUGUAAAGCUCUAUCAGCAGGGAAGAAAAUGACGGUACCUGACUAAGAAGCCCCGGCUAACUACGUGCCAGCAGCCGCGGUAAUACGUAGGGGGCAAGCGUUAUCCGGAUUUACUGGGUGUAAAGGGAGCGUAGACGGCAAUGCAAGCCAGAUGUGAAAGCCCGGGGCUCAACCCCGGGACUGCAUUUGGAACUGUGUAGCUGGAGUGUCGGAGAGGCAGGCGGAAUUCCGUGUGUAGCGGUGAAAUGCGUAGAUAUACGGAGGAACACCAGUGGCGAAGGCGGAUUGCUGGACAGUAACUGACGCUGAGGCGCGAAAGCGUGGGGAGCAAACAGGAUGAGAUACCCCUGUA
rnacentral:rRNA from 1 species